rnacentral:rRNA from 1 species
AGAGUUUGAUCAUGGCUCAGAUUGAACGCUGGCGGCAUGCCUAACACAUGCAAGUCGAACGGAAACGAUGGGAGCUUGCUCCCAGGCGUCGAGUGGCGGACGGGUGAGUAACACAUAGGAAUCUGCCCAGUAGCGGGGGACAACUUGGGGAAACUCAAGCUAAUACCGCAUACGCCCUACGGGGGAAAGCGGGGGACCUUCGGGCCUCGCACUAUUGGAUGAGCCUAUGUCAGAUUAGCUUGUUGGUGGGGUAACGGCCUACCAAGGCGACGAUCUGUAGCUGGUCUGAGAGGACGAUCAGCCACACUGGGACUGAGACACGGCCCAGACUCCUACGGGAGGCAGCAGUGGGGAAUAUUGCACAAUGGGGGAAACCCUGAUGCAGCAAUGCCGCGUGUGUGAAGAAGGCCUGCGGGUUGUAAAGCACUUUCAGUGGGGAGGAAACAGUUGCGGGUUAAUAUUCCGCGACCUUGACGUUACCCACAGAAGAAGCACCGGCUAACUCUGUGCCAGCAGCCGCGGUAAUACAGAGGGUGCGAGCGUUAAUCGGAAUUACUGGGCGUAAAGCGCGCGUAGGCGGCUUGGUCAGUCGGAUGUGAAAGCCCCGGGCUUAACCUGGGAAUUGCAUUCGAUACUGCCUGGCUAGAAUGUAGUAGAGGGAAGUGGAAUUCCGGGUGUAGCGGUGAAAUGCGUAGAUAUCCGGAGGAACAUCAGUGGCGAAGGCGACUUCCUGGACUAACAUUGACGCUGAGGUGCGAAAGCGUGGGGAGCAACCAGGAUUAGAUAUCCUGGUAGUCCACGCCGUAAACGAUGUCAACUAGAUGUUGGGGGGUUUAACCCUUUAGUAUCGCAGCUAACGCAUUAAGUUGACCGCCUGGGGAGUACGGCCGCAAGGUUAAAACUCAAAUGAAUUGACGG